AGCGAACGCUGGCGGCAGGCCUAACAUAUGCAAGUCGAACGGAUCCUCCGGGAUUAGUGGCGGACGGGUGAGUAACACGUGGGAACGUGCCCUUUGGUUGGGAACAACUCAGGGAAACUUGAGCUAAUACCGGAUGUGCCCUCGGGGGAGAGAGUGAUCGCCGUUGGAGCGGCCCGCGUGUGAGUCGCUAGUUCGUGAGGUAAAGGCUCGCCAAGGCGACGAUCAGUAGCUGGUCUGAGAGGAUGAUCAGCCACAUUGGGACUGAGACACGGCCCAACCUCCUACGGGAGGCAGCAGUGGGGAAGCUUGCGCAAUGGGAGAAAGCCUGACGCAGCCAUGCCGCGUGAAUGAUGAAGGUCUUAGGAUUGUAAAAUUCUUUCACCGGGGACGAUAAUGACGGUACCCGGAGAAGAAGCCCCGGCUAACUUCGUGCCAGCCGCCGCCGUAA
rnacentral:rRNA from 1 species